rnacentral:other from 1 species
UACAGGCUACGUUGUUCGUAAUUCUAAUAAGUUUUAACCUUUAAACUGUAAUAGGGAGUUUUAUAUCGAAACCGGAAUGUCAAGCCUCCAUUACGAGUGGAAGACAGGAACGUUUCUGCAAACACCCACUUUGAGGAGUGGUGGUUUAAAACUUUAUUACACAAAGUUACGGCAAUGGUGGCUCACUU